UACGUAGGCAGCGAGCGUUGUUCGGAGUUACUGGGCGUAAAGGGUGCGUAGGCGGUUUUCCAAGUUUGGUGUGAAAUCUCCCGGCUCAACUGGGAGGGUGCGCCGAAAACUGGAGGACUGGAGUACCGGAGAGGUAAGCGGAAUUCCUGGUGUAGCGGUGAAAUGCGUAGAGAUCAGGAGGAACACCUGUGGUGUAGACAGCUUACUGGACGGUGACUGACGCUGAGGCACGAAGGCCAGGGGAGCAAACGGG
rnacentral:rRNA from 1 species